CGCGGCCCCGCCCCGCGCAGCGCGGCCGCGCAUGGGCGGCUGCGGCUCCGCGCUCUUGGCGCGGCGGAUGAAUCCGGGGCUCGGCAGGCCGCGCCCGGAGCGCGGGGCUCUCACGGGCCGCUCCGCCCAUGGCCUCCCCACUGGAGGACCCCGUCCUGAUCCGGCCUUUCCGCGGCCACACGGCGGCGGUGACGGGCGUCGCCUUCGAUGCGAACGCGGCGGAGAUGGUUACCUGCUCUGUGGAUAGGCUUCUCAUAUUGUGGAAGCUGAAGACACAGUGCAGCGCCUACAGAUUUUCGGGCCAUGCGGAAGAGGUGACAAGUGUAGAGUUCUCACCAGAUGGGCGGGUGCUGGCUUCAGCUUCUUGGGAUCACACUGUCAGGCUGUGGAUUCCUUGCAUUCACGGAGAAUCAUCAGUGCUGAAAGGUCAUACAGCAUCUGUUCGGAGUGUGAGCUUCUCCCAUGAUGGCUACUCUGUAGUUUCAGCAUCCAAUGACAAAUUAGUAAAAAUAUGGAGUGUUAGCUAUCAGCGCCUUUUGUCUACCCUAUUCCGACACACUGGUUGGGUUCGCUGUGCCAAAUUUUCACCUGAUGGAAGAAUAAUAGCAUCCUGUGGUGAGGACAAAUCUAUUAACAUCUGGGAUACAAGAAAUAAAAUUUGUGUUAAUACCUUCUCAGAUUAUGAAGGAUUUCCAGCUUAUGUGGAUUUCAACCCAAGUGGAAUAUGUAUAGCUUCUGCAGGUUCCAAUAACACAGUGAAACUAUGGGAUAUUAGAACAAACAAGCUACUGCAGCAUUUCAAAGUUCACAGAGCAGGGGUUAAUUGUAUAUCAUUCCAUCCUUCUGGUAACUACCUCAUCACUGCUUCUUCUGACGGUACCCUUAAGAUUCUGGACCUCUUAGGAGAAAGACUUAUUUACACUCUUCAUGGACACAAGGGACCUGUACUUUGUGUGGCUUUUUCAAAAGGUGGUGAAAAGUUUGCCUCAGGUGGAGUGGAUGCUCAGGUAUUACUAUGGAAAACCAACUUUGAUACUUUGGAUUACGAAGAAGUUCUCGAACACAAUUUUAGAAGGACACAUCUUGAUGAUCCUCCUCAUCUUCUUGAUGUUUACCCAAGGUCACCUCACUUACAUGAUGAACAGUGUGAAUCAGUUGAGGUCGACCCUACGUUUGAUGUGCCUGAUAUAGAAACACCUGACCCAGUUAUCAUCGAUAUUAGAACAUCUUCACAUAUCAGUACUCCUAUAGUAGUAUCUGUCUCUUUGGCAAAGUGUUCAAGCAGUUGUGCUGGCCCUGUUGGAUUUAACUUUGGAGUCUGCUAUGCUGGAUUGAUAACUUAAUUUCAAAUGCUUUUAACUCUUUGAUAUUUUCCUGAGUAAAUAUGCCUUCAAGAACAAGAAAUUCCUCUGGGUUUGUUGAUCAACCUCUUUUGGCUGUAAAUUCAUGUUGAAUAUGGAUAUAAUAGGUGACUUUGAAUGAGACAGAGGAAGUGCUGUCCUUUAUAUAUAAUUUAAGACUCUGUACAACAAACUCACUGCCACCAGGUAUUAUUUCUUUGUAAAGUUCAGUUAGACUUUUCUAGCUAGGUAUUGGUCUAAAGGCUUUCAUUCAGGUUUUUUUGGGUAGGGGAAAGAGGACAGAAAGAAGUCAUGAGCAGGCAAGCCAGAAGAAUGGCUGUCAUAUCUCUGAUCAAAUAUGUUCCUGGUGAGGAUGCUCUACUCUCACUCACACCCUGCCUCCUUCCUCCCAUGUACUUGAUCCCCUCUGGGAACCCCCACAAUCUGCUAUUUGAAGUACAGGGAGUUUGCCCACAUGCUAGGAAAGUCCUAGGGUUUUUAUACCUUUGUUUUUAUUCAUUAACAUUUGUAAUAUCAAAAAUAGCAGAAUAUUCUAUUUAUAGUGGUAGAAAAGAGGCCUUGUCUACAUAGAGUUAUUAAUUUUCUAUUGUUAUUUCCUUCUAGUAAGCAUUUCAUUAUAUUUCCAGUUUCUUUUACAAGUAUUCCUCCUGCCCUCCUUUAGCUUUUCUCUGCCCUGGAAUGGAUAAAAAGUUCAAGCAGAGUCUGUAAUAUAAUUUUUAUUAGGACUUUCUGUAGGUAAAAAGAAGCCAUCAUGGAAACCUUUUUUUUUUCAUUUCAGCCUCUUGGGUAUGCACACAAGCAGUCCAAAGUAAUUUGCCUAAAUUAAACUUGGCCACUUUAUUUCAUAAUCGUGAAUAGUAGGAAAUGCUUCUGUAGUGUCAUGCUAUUUCUCCUUAGUUUACCAAAGCUUUCUGCUGAAGCUGAAGAUAUAUUGGAGGUAAUUGAUUACCUUUCUUCUACAGGGUACAUUUUUAUAUUUUGGUGCCUGUGGUGCAAGAGUUUUUAUAACUUAUGAAAGUGUUUGAGUAGAUUGUCUUCCUGAGCUGUUACAUUAGAAUUGACUUCCUGACAGGGGAUUCUCACCUUUGGGAAUUCAACUUCCAAUGGUUUCUGCUUGGUUUGUUUAGUAUAUUCAUGAUAUGUUUUGGGGUUUAUUUAGUUGUUUUGUUGGGGGCUUUUUUUGUUUGUUUCUUUGUUGUUUUCUAGGGGUUUUUUGUUCAUUUGGUUUUUAAUUAUCAAUUCCUAACUUUUCACCAUAUUGCUUAUUUUUUGAGAGGAAAUCCUUAGCUUUUUCUAAAAGUUUAAACUGAUGCAGACUCUGUACAGGGUACUAUUAAUGCUAGAAAUUAACAUCAGUGAGCAAAUUAGAAAGAAAAAAUCACCUGAUUUUAAGCAAAGUUUAUAACUGAUGAUCUGAGAGUUUAGAAAGAAGUAUUUCAGGAAUAUUAUUUAUUUCUAACUGGAUGCACUCAAAUAUCUGUGGACUUCUAAAAGGUUUUUAUUGUGGAAAUAGAAAUAAUUUUUUUUCUGUUUCUUGGAGAAAACAAGCCUUAUUCUGUGUUCAUUUUCAGUGCUUUCUUGACAUGGAUGGAAUACAGAGAAAAUAUUUUUGUUCUGCACUGCAUUUUGUAUAUGUGGAAUCAUAAAAUACUGAGUGCAUUAGCUCUACUCUGUUUUACAGGGUUUUCUCAAACCAGAAGCAGCACUCUGGGGAAAAGAUGACUUAAGAAAACUAUGUAGUCAGUUUCUCAUCAUGUGUGUGAAAGGAUACUUGUAAAAUGUGAUGUAAUUUCUUUGCCUAGAACUUUCAGGAUACCUUGAGAUGUGCCUAUGGACAGGGGAGUUUAUUGUUUCAUGCUGUCACAGGAUUACUAAAUUCAAUAUAGCUGUCAUCCUGAUAGAAAUAAAUAAAUCUGAUUAAUCAGACCAUAGCUGUAAGUGCAUCAGGA